CAACUACUCCCUCUGUCCCAAAUUUCUUGUCUUAGAUUUGUCUAGAUACGGAUGUAUCUAAUACUAAAAUGUGACUUGAUACAUUCGUAUCUAGACAAAUCUAAGACAAGAAUUUUGGGACGGAGGGAGUACUUU
rfam:Triticum urartu cultivar G1812 contig964975, whole genome shotgun sequence.